AUAAGUGCAAUUCCUGAACUUUCCAGGAAGUGGCGGUAGCGUUCUUGUCACCUGCUGUGUUAUAGUUGAAUUAAUACUGAGAGAACGUCAGCGGUUUCUCCUGCCUGCCCUUGUGGUUAUCGUUGGUGAUUUGGUGUUCAAGUGUUAGUACAUGACUAAUAAGAUUGAAAGUGAAGACCCAGAUGAUUCAACAUGACAGCACUUCUGAUGAGGACUAUGUCCCAUCUAUCUGUCUUAGAACAGGUGACGCUGCCGAUCGUCCCCUUGUAGACCUUCUCCGUCUACUUGAUGGUCUUCCUCUUGCUGCACAGCUGGGUUCAGCAGCUCCAGUUGUUUCUUCCCGUCCAUUUUUCUUUUACUGGUGUCUGCACCUUUAGCUCUUCCCCGUGAUGCUUCAUGCCGGCUGCUCUGAGAAGGAAUCCAGGUCUCAUCAGGCUUUGACAUGGACAAGUCCAGUAAAGAG